rnacentral:rRNA from 1 species
UACAGAGGUCCCAAGCGUUGUUCGGAUUCACUGGGCGUAAAGGGUGCGUAGGUGGUUGUGCAAGUCUGAUGUGAAAUCUCCGGGCUUAACCCGGAAAUGGCAUUGGAAACUGCAUAGCUAGAGGGUUGGAGGGGGGACUGGAAUACUUGGUGUAGCAGUGAAAUGCGUAGAUAUCAAGUGGAACACCAGUGGCGAAGGCGAGUCCCUGGACAACACCUGACACUGAGGCACGAAAGCUAGGGGAGCAAACAGG